rnacentral:misc_RNA from 1 species
GAAAUUCUGAACGGGCCGUCGUCGGAGAGUGGCAAGUCGGUGUCGGGGAAGGAGUCGGUGAAGACGGGGUCGGGGAGAGCGAAGGGGAAGUGGCUGUCAGGGACGGCGGGGUGGUAGUGAGAGCCCCAGGGCGGGGCUCCGGCGGAGGAGGUGGUGAGGGUGGCGGCGAUGUGGUGGUGCUGCUGCUGUUGCUGUUGGCGUUGCUGCUGCUGCUG